AAUUGACUAAAGAGAAGAAGUCCACUUGAAGCGAAUACAAAGAAUAUCGGUGAUCCGUGUGUUUCCGACAUCAUCGACACCGUAUGCAUCACUGGGUUCGAGCUUCCUCUUCCGAUUUCACCGGAAAUCCUCCACAGCCGAGGAGUGGACAUACAGCUGUCAAUGUCGGAAAAUCCAUGGUGGUCGUGUUCGGCGGUCUCGUCGAUAAGAAAUUCCUCAACGACAUAAUUGUUUAUGAUAUUGAAAACAAACUCUGGUUUGAGCCAGAAUGCACUGGCAGCGUGUCGGAUGGACAAGUGGGUCCUUCACCUCGUGCAUUUCAUGUUGCCAUCACAAUCGAUUGUCAUAUGUUCAUCUUUGGUGGACGUUCUGGUGGCAAGAGGUUGGGCGACUUUUGGGUUCUAGAUACAGAUAUAUGGCAGUGGUCUGAGCUGACUAGCUUCGGCGACUUACCUACGCCUCGUGAUUUUUCUGCCGCUGCUGCUAUUGGGAGCCAGAAAAUUGUACUGUGUGGCGGCUGGGAUGGUAAAAAGUGGCUGUCAGAUGUGUAUGUUAUGGACACAAUGUCCCUUGAAUGGAUGGAGCUGUCGGUUUCGGGGUCGUUGCCACCUCCUAGAUGUGGUCAUACAGCCACCAUGGUUGAGAAACGGUUACUUGUUUUCGGUGGCAGAGGAGGUGGUGGCCCUAUCAUGGGUGAUUUGUGGGCUUUGAAGGGUCUAAUAGAUGAAGAGCGUGAAACGCCUGGAUGGACCCAACUCAAGCUUCCUGGCCAAGCACCAUCAUCUCGAUGUGGUCAUACAGUUACAUCCGGAGGACAUUAUCUUCUGUUAUUUGGGGGACAUGGAACUGGUGGAUGGCUGAGUCGUUAUGAUGUCUAUUAUGAUGACACUAUAAUUUUGGACAGAGUAACUGCUCAGUGGAAGCGCUUACCAAUAAGCAAUGAUGAGCUUCCUCCUCCUCGAGCUUACCAUUCCAUGACUUGUAUCGGAGCUCGUCACCUUUUACUUGGUGGGUUUGAUGGAAAAUCGACCUUUGGUGAUCUUUGGUGGUUGGUUCCCGAAGAUGAUCCGAUAGCCAAGAGGUCAUCUGUACCUCAACUUAGAAAUCCUCCUGAAAUUAAAGAGUCAGAGAGAGUAUUGGACAAGGACAGAGGACAAGAGGGAUCCGCUAUUGUUGAAUUGCAGAAGAAAAUGGGAAUAUCUGUUUCAUCAGGAUUACGCCUUCAAAUUCCUGAGGAGUCAGAAGAUCAAGAAUUCGUUGAAUUAGGAAAAAGAUUGAUUGAGGGAGAUGUAGUUGAUGAUCGAGCUUCUAUGGUUCAGAUGGCAGCUCAAGCACUUCGUCAACAUUGGAAAGAGUCCACUCCUAUAACUUUACAACUAAAAGAGCUUGGUUCCUUACUUCGAGAUUAUCAGCGACUUGUUACCCGAAAAUACACUGCACAGAACAGCUUAACAUCUGCUGACUUUGGCCUCCCCAGAAUGAAGACCUUUACGUUUUAUCAUAUCAAAAGUUCUUCCGAGUUGCGGAUGGAUGACAUCCCGAAGUUGCUGGAAGAAUAUAAAACCCUUCUAAUCUGAUUGAGGAGCACUGCCAUGAAAACUCACGAGAAGAAACAACCAAUCUUUUAGGUUUCCGUAUAAAAAAGGCAAAUUCUAUUCGCGCAAGCACCCAACAGUCUUGUUGAUCUCUUCCAGCUUCUUCACCUUUAGUCUUUCGCUUUCAGCCUGUAGCUGCCAAGAAGAUCACCGAGCUUGCGAUCAGCAAUAUCACUGCAACCAACAAAUCUAAAAGUCAAAAAGAGAAUCAGAUCCGUUGAUAGACAAUAGAUAUGUCCAACUUUUUUUUGAGUCAAGGACACAAAUAUAUACGAAUAUGUAAGAUUCCUACUAUGAAAGUGCUAUGUGUGGUACACUCAUUGAUAUUUUAUGGUUGGUUAGUUUAAGAUAUGGAUUUUGG